rnacentral:rRNA from 1 species
AUUGAACGCUGGCGGCAUGCUUUACACAUGCAAGUCGAACGGUAACAGGCCGCAAGGUGCUGACGAGUGGCGAACGGGUGAGUAAUGCAUCGGAACGUGCCCAGUCGUGGGGGAUAACUACUCGAAAGAGUAGCUAAUACCGCAUACGAUCUAUGGAUGAAAGCGGGGGACCGUAAGGCCUCGCGCGAUUGGAGCGGCCGAUGUCAGAUUAGGUAGUUGGUGGGGUAAAGGCUCACCAAGCCAACGAUCUGUAGCUGGUCUGAGAGGACGACCAGCCACACUGGGACUGAGACACGGCCCAGACUCCUACGGGAGGCAGCAGUGGGGAAUUUUGGACAAUGGGCGCAAGCCUGAUCCAGCAAUGCCGCGUGCAGGAAGAAGGCC